AACGAACGCUGGCGGCAUGCCUAACACAUGCAAGUCGAACGAGACCUUCGGGUCUAGUGGCGCACGGGUGCGUAACGCGUGGGAACCUGCCUUUAGGUUCGGAAUAACUCAGAGAAAUUUGAGCUAAUACCGGAUAAUGUCUUCGGACCAAAGAUUUAUCGCCUUUAGAUGGGCCCGCGUUGGAUUAGCUAGUUGGUGGGGUAAAGCCUACCAAGGCGACGAUCCAUAGCUGGUCUGAGAGGACGACCAGCCACACUGGGACUGAGACACGGCCCAGACUCCUACGGGAGGCAGCAGUGGGGAAUUUUGGACAAUGGGCGCAAGCCUGAUCCAGCAAUGCCGCGUGCAGGAUGAA
rnacentral:rRNA from 1 species